AUAAAGAUAGUAUUCCUGUUGAGAAGAAAUGCCCCACUGGCUGCCUGCAAAUACCAGUUUUACAAGGAGGCUCUUGAUUGAGACAUCAGCAGGAUGAAACUCUUUCUCCCUGACUUCUGCAUAAUGUUCAGAUCGAAUAUAUGGAAGAAGGAGACCAGGCACCUAACCACCCACAGAUUGUAGCUUUGGAUAGCAGGCAUGGGGAAUCAAGUGGAAAAACUGACCCACUUAAACUACAAAGAGGUUCCCACAACUGACCCAACAGGCAUGGACAGAGAUGAGGGUCCCAGGAUUGGAGUUUCUUACAUAUUUUCCAAUGAUGAUGAUGAUGUAGAGCCUCAGCAGGACUCAACAGUGUCAGAUCUUGGUGGGGAUCGUCCUGCAUCACAACCGUACGACCCUCAGCUUCACGAAGUGGAAUGCUCUAUCUAUUAUCGUGAUGAGUGCAUUUAUCAGAAGAGCUUUUCUGGAGACCACACAUUGUCUGGUGAGGUAGAUGGAGGCGGAGGGGGCCAUUUAACCACCUACACACCAGAAAACCUAUUGAACAGGUGCAAACCUGGUGAUCUGAUAGAAUUUGUGUGCCAGGCCCAGUACCCUCACUGGGUGGUAUAUGUUGGGGACUUCCAGGUGGUGCAUUUGCAUAGACUGGAAGUGGUGAACGGUUUUCUCACAGAUGCCAGCCAGGGCAGACGGGGGCGCAUUGCGAACCAGUUGUAUCGCUACAAACCACUAAAUCCUGCCACAGUAGUGCGAAAUGCCCUGGAUCAAGUGGGUCGCAAAGACCGGGAUCUCAAUUGGAGGAACUCUGAAUGUUUUGCAGCUUGGUGCCGCUAUGGCAAGCGUGAGUUCAAAAUUGGGGGCGAGCUGCGUAUAGGCAAGCAACCCUAUCGGUUGCAGAUCCAGCUGGGAGAUAAACGCAGCCACACUCUUGAGUUCCAGAGCCUGGAGGAUCUCAUUAUGGAAAAAAGAAGAAAUGAUCAAAUAGGGAAGGUGGCUGUCAUCCAAGAACUGUCCAGCCAUCUUCAGGCCGCCGAGGCAGACAAUGAAGAGGAUGCUAACGGCAAACCAGGUGCCUGGACCAGUGCUGAGUAGCAGUCCUUGCACAGUCAGGCUGCUUAACCUUGGUGACGGAUUAAAACUGAAUCCUGCGAAAUUGAGCUGUUAUAAGCCCUUUGGGCUGUUUCAGUGCAGCUUCACUCCAAUCCCAUGUGAAGGAAAGGGAGAAAGCUGAUUAAGCACCAGUCCUUCAGCACUUAACUCCUUCAGUGCUUGGUUGAACCAGCAAGUUUAUUUGUUGAGGGUUAAAUCUCAGGAAGAUCUUCCUAACUCGCUGUUUAUACAUGUCUCUCUUCCCAAAUUGCAUCCCUCUUCCUCCCACUUAGCUUCUGCUGUUUUAAAUUGGAUGGGGUCCAGCAUCAAUGAACUACAUGAUUCGAUGUUGGAGCAAAGACAUUUCCCCUUUAUUCUUUUUUUUUUCUUCUUUAUUUCCUACUUUGGCAUUUCUGGAAUCUCUCCCUUUCAUUUUACUGGUUAUGGCCUUCCAUUCUUCCUGUCCUCAAUAUCUCUGUGAGGAUUGAAUGGUUAAAUUAUUGUUAAUUUUGGGUCACGGGGUUGGCCUGUUUGUGCUGAAAGAUUUGGCAGAGUUGUAAAGGAGAAAUAGCGUUUCCUGUCUGUGGCUGAAGCACCUUUUCUGGGUUGUAUGGAGAGAUUUAAAAUAUUUUCACAGAAGUGAGAUUACAAAGUACAUAAUGGAAUAAGGGCUGCAGCUUUUCAAAACACUACCAAGAAACUCUUUCCUUUAAUUACAGUGGAGUUGGGUUAAGCCAUGGCCAUCAAGACUCUGUGUAAGUCAUUGACGUUUAGUGGGAGGGCAGCUAAACCCUCUUAGCACCAGUGGUUACAGCAGGAUUAAUUUGCUACAAAUCCAAGUACUGUUUGGGCACAUUAUGUAUUGUUGGAAAAGGUGACACAAGAGACAGGCAACUUUUUUUAAAAAGGCAUUUUAUUCCUAGGCAGUGAAGCUGGUUGUCUCGCCAUUACUGUUAAAUAUCUGAGGACAGGCUGUUAGUGCAUCUGGAAGAAACGUCUUCUUUUCAAUCUGUUUUUUAACUUCUUUAUGUAUAAAAUCAUUGAUUUCAUUUUUUCAGUACAUUUUUUUUUGUUUUAUUCAGUGGCUAAGGGCACCAAAGUGGGUCCUCUCCAUAAAGAAUAGGAAAAGAGGAGCAAGAUAGUAUGUAGUGCCCAUUUUUAAGUUAGCAAUGUUCUGUCUUCAGCCUCUCCAAGUUGAUUUCUGUCAAUGCCUUUUUUUCUGGCGUACUUCUGCUUCUCUAGGCAUAUUGUUACAGAAGGAAAGAGAGAACGGCCGUUCCCCUUGUAGAAACAGAGGAGAUUCAAAGGUUUGCUUUGCUGGCAGGUCACAGUUAUGAAGAGAGAACUGCCAAAAGUUCUGUUUGGGCAUUAUUGCUGCUACCAUAAAAUGUCCCAAUCCUAUAAAAACUGUUCAACGGGCAUUAACUAAGAGCUGUGCUUGAAGAAUUGCUUUGUAGCUAGGAAUUGAUUCUCUUUAUACCUAUCAGCAAAUAGAAGUAAGAGUUGUGUGUUUGUGUGAACAGACUGUUAACUUUCUUGCUAAUGGCUGAUUUCUCAUAAAAGCCACUGAUUUGAUUUAAGUAGCAAAGAUGCAUAUUUGGAAGUAAAGGUGUUUAGGGUAACUAAGCAGCAUUUUAAAACAUGCUUGCAGUUAUUAACCACUACUUAACAGACAAUAUUCUCUGCUACCUCUGCAUUGUAAAACCAUAAGGGAUGCUUUUCAGACACAUGCAUCCACAGUGAACUAAUCUAUUACUGUCUUUGCAAAAUAUUGAGUUGAUGUUCCAGUGGUUGGUUAUUCCUCUAGAGUAAGCAACAUAUGGAUUGUGGGUUGAUAAGGAAGAAGCAGUGAUAAAGUCUCGCUCCUUUUCACCUUAUGCUUGCAGAACCUUGUUUGUCACAGUGGUGGCUAGACAGACCCACAAAUCAGUUUAGACAAAUCACUGAUCAUCUGAAAUGAGCUUAAACUGUGAUCCUUGAUCUUUAAAGGCUUUUAAAGAAGCAUUCUCAGAUGUCCUGUUUUGUAGCAUUCAACCAGAAGUUAGUAAUCACAUGAUUAGAAGCUGCUUUGCUGUCAAAAAGUCCUACCCUUCAGAAAAACAAUCCUUCCUGUGUUUUGAAAAAUGCAUACCAGGGGAAAGUGUAAUGUGAUUCCUCCUACCUAUGCUGCUUAGGUUAUCUUCACAGUUUCCUAUAUAUUGGGACACCCAAACUAGGUUGAUUUCCCCCAUUUCUCACUAUAGACUCCAAUCCAGGGGACCUUUUGCAACAAUACUUGAUUCUGCUGAACGUAUAACCCACCAUUGUCAGCCCAUAAAUUUCUUGCAUACCAAACAAGACAGGCUCAACUUCAAGACCUUUGGUGUAUUGUGCUAAUGCCCUGCGUGAUUAUUUGCAUUAAGGGAGAAGGAAGCUAGUCAUGCAGAAAGUGAGAUAAUCCAGCAGUAAUUUGGUUCCCCCAUUUGCUUCUGAGAGUUCCAUUUUGUGAUAGUCGAAGUUGAUAAAAGAUCUCAAGGAGCUACAUGUUGAAAGUGAUGUCUUUUUAAGAACGGGAUGUAUUCUGAGGUAUGAGCUCUGCAUACCACGAUUGUUAAGCUCAUAUGCAAUAUUGUAUGUUUUUAAGCACAAAAUCUGAACGUACCUAACUUGGCCAUUGAAGAGCAGGACAUGUCCUUAAGCAGUCUGGUGAGGCGUACAGCAGUACUUCUGCACACACGUAUCAAAGUUCCGCAGUUGUAACCAUAAGAGGAAAAUUUGCAAUGGAAACAUUCUGCAUAUAUUUCACAGGAGUACACAAUAAGCAGGACUUUACUAGCUUAUUAGGACUGAUUAGCAUGGAGAACCUUUUAAAAAUAAGUAAAUGUUUACUGCUAUUAAAAAGGCCAAGAAGUUGUUCUUCCUGUUGAAUCCAGCAACUGUAUCCUAGAUUCAGAGAUAUUUAGUUAUUAAUGAUUCUGAAUUUUGUAGAGAACAAAACUUAUUUCGCUAUGUAAUAGGUGGUUGUAAAAUGAUAUUUUCUUACAAGUAUUUUUGAAAGAAAGUCCAUCAUAAAAAUAUUUACAUUUUUUGAAAGUUGUAUUAUUUUCACAGAGAAAUAUAUCCUUCAAAUCAAUUUUUUUUUAUUUUUGUCAUUGGUGAUCUAAAGGUAUUUUCUAGGUCAUAAAUAAAGUGUAAAAGAAAUGAUAGAUGUUGAACAUUGUAAAUCUAUGUAUCUGCUUGGUACUACAUUGUAAAUUAACUGAAAAUAUUUUUUUCUUGUCUAGAAUAUUAGAGAUAGUUAAAGAGGAAAGAACUAAAUUACCAUUUUUUUUCCAAAGGCAUGAUCUGCUUUAUUUAUAAAAGCAUACUUGUUCACUGCUGGACAGCUGGUCAAAUUCAAAUCAAAUUAAUUUCUUGAAGUAUAGUUACACAAAUAAUUCAAAUAUUCUGAUUUUUUUUUAAAUAAUGUAGUUCCCGUUAUUAUGCUGAUAUUGUCAGACACUGUUGAAGAACAUUAUAUCAUUAUUUUAUCUUUGUAAAAGCUUUCUGUUUACAUUCUUGGUCCCAAAAUGAUGUGAAUGUCAAAAGAAGAUGUAGUAAUUCCGUCCUCAGCUUGUGAAAUGAAGAGCCGUAAAAGCACUUUUUUUUCCAGUACUCCAUGUGGCUGAUCACUACAGCAUUCUUCCUACCAUCAAACUGUGAUUAGCAUUUCUAUGGGUAAGGCCUUGUUUAAAAAUGAAAGUAGUUCUGCUCAAAUGGUGACACCUCUCCCCCAGGUUGGACGCACAUCAGUAGCUCAACCAGGAUCCCAGGUGUGUGUUAGCUGCUCUUGUUCCUCUUUUUCUCAGCCUUCAAGAUGAGAAGUAACUUGCCAGACAACAUCACUGAAUGCAACAAGAUCUCUGUAACAGUCAUUGGAACUCCCUAUUGGAGGUUUAUGGUUUUUAGCUGGAUGUUCUGCUAAUUGGAUGGGUGGAAUAUUAUAUACAUACACACCAUCUGUUUUCUUUCUGCUGAACUCUGUUUUCAGUGCAAUAGAAAGAUAAUAGCGCAUGACUUCAUAGCAUGGGGCAGGCCUUCCUGAGCUACAUGAUAUUUAUGCUCUCAUGGAAGAAUGGAUAGCUACUACCUACGUACAUAGAGUUGAGCUGGCAGUGUUGAGACAGCAUGGUAGCCAUGCUUUGAUGUGCCCUUUACAAUUCAUCUUUGCCCCCUCUCAUUUGAUCUCUUUGUCCCCAAAUGGGAAGGGUAGAGCUGAUAAUUAUAUUCUUUGGCUGUAAGAACUUCUUAUACUUGGAUAAUUCUCAUGGCUUCCUGCAAAUACUCCCAAAAGAAGAUGAUCUUUUGGCAAAGAUGGUAACUCUAUGUCAGAAAGCUAUUGCUGCUUUCACAGAACCCCAGUAUCCAAGCAUUCAUGUUACUUUUCCUGAAGUGCAGAUAAUUUUUCUGUGCUUUUGACUUGGAGUUCAUUCAAUGUGCAGUCAUGUUACAAUCUGCAUGUGGAAAACUUGAACAUACGUGACUGCAACCAUCUUCCCCAAUUUGAUCCUUUUCAGACUUCAUACUUUAGGCUACAAAUCUCCAUCAAUCUUAGCAUUACCAGGGGUUGGGAUGGUGGGGCAGUAACCCCAAACAUAUGCAGGUUGAGGAAGAAUGGUGUAGGGUCUGCUGGAGCAUUGCUAAGAGCUUGAGUGGUUUAUAUCUCAACUAAGCUAGGUGUAAUGGAUGGGCUACACCCGGAAACAAAAGGUUCAAAUCCAUAAACAUGGAUGUCUUGUGGUUAUGUGAGAAUGGAUAUGAGGUUAAAUGAUGGCGUGCCCCCUAAUAACUUGCAAACUGGGUUUAAGCAAGCCACUUUUCAUUCAGCCUCACCCUGACCUGAAACACAGGAAUUACUAUAGUGGCCUAUCUUGGAAGGUUGUAAAAUGUAUGAUAUAAAUGUACAUUGAGCAUAUUAUGGAUUCUAAGACCUGUUAUGAAAACAAGGAAUUUUGUAUAUAGAAUUCUACUAAUGGAGGCUUUAAUAUGACAAAUGUUAAAUACUAUCAAUCAAAUUUUUAUUAUGGUCAUAGACCAACAUAAUUACUAUGUUUAUUGUACCCCAAUUUUACAUGGGGCUUCCUAGGUUUGUCUGCCCCAUUGCUCUUGAGGGGUUGAUCAGGGCUGCAGCAUUAACCUAUUUCAAAUUCUCUAAACCUAGAUUAAGAGUACAGAAAUAGCCUCUUCAGAUAUGGCUGAUCUACAGUUCUUUGAAAUCCUAGCCAGCAGAGCUAAUAUUGAAAGUUCUUCAGCAACAGUUGAAAAGCCAUAUAAUCACUAUCCAUAUCUAGGAGUUGCUCAAAUAAGCUGUGUGUUUUUUCUUUUAAAAUAGCAAUUACUUUUGUAUUUCUUUUAAUUUAAAAAAAAUGACUAAUUUCUGAUAAUCUCAAAAAGCCAUGUAGCCAAGGUUCACAGAAACUGAAGUCUAACAAAACUGGGGCACAUUGGUUGGGAAAGAUUGCAAUAAAUGGCUUUGUUUGGGCUUUUGACUUUAAAUUAUUGAGCUGACAUUGACCCUUCUCUUAUUUUCACUUGGCUUUGAGUAGCACUUAAAAGGAUGACUCAUAAACGGUUUGAAAAUUUACAUUUUCAUAUAGGCCAAAGGUAAACUCAACUUUUCAGAAUAGUUUUAAAAGGGUCAUGUUUUAGCAGUCAAGUCCCUUUCUUAAAAAAAAUAGCUGGUUUAAAGGAAUGAGUGAGUAAAGCCAUUGGUGAAGAGAAAGUCUAUAUAUGCUACUUUUAAGCAUCCUCAUUUCAAACUGGUCAUGCUUUCCAUUCACUCCAAGAUUGUGUACUUUAUCGAGUUGGAUUUUUUUGAGCAGAUGGGCAACUAGGAAAGUAGGUAUACUAGUUCACAAGAUCACCAGAUGAGUGUUCUUAUAUAUGAGGAAUAUCUUCAUGGAGAAAGCAAGCACGGGGGUGGGGGGAGGGGAGGCAAGAUGAGUUUAGAACUUUUCAAUAUUAAAUUUAUUUUUCCAUGCUUUUUGUACUUAAUCAUAAAAUCUUCCUCUUAUACUCUACUUACAUGGUAAGGCUGGGUCCAGACAUCACACUAGGCCAAAAUAUGGCUUUGUUUGACAUCUAGUGUAUUGUCUAAACCCAGCCAUUGUGGUUGAUAAACCACAUUCUAUGAUGCAGCCAUACUGACUAUGACUAAGUCAACAAACCAGGGUUUAUCUUGAUGUGUAAUCCAGCCUAAUUCUUUGCAGAAUAAAUUUACCCCUUGAUCUCUUGGUAUAGAUUAUGCCCAAAAUAGCGUAUGUAUUCUGAAUAAACAUUUCAAUAUAUUAAUUACUUGAAUCCAGAAGGAUUUACACUGGUAACCUGAUCUCAAACAGGUGAACUAUUAUUUUGGCAUAUUGCUCUGUUUCAUUGUGAUGUUUUUGUGUUUUUUCCAUGUGAACUAUGUGAACAAAGAAAAAAAGCACAUGUGAGGAGAGCGUUGCUGUUGAAAUAGCUGCUAAUUCUGCCCUGUGUCAGCUGUGGGAGCAAACUGGAUCUUCUUUGCAGAGAGUUAUAAAUACACAUUUACCCACGUCAUUCAGAUGGUCGCUCAACCCAGAAGCAACAUUGCCAGGGAAGGGAAGCUGGCCAUACUGAAGAGGAAAGGCAGAUCAUGAAUCAUAUCUCUGAUGGACUCCAUUGUACUAUGAGAGGCUGCAGAGACAGAUAAGUCAGAAGCUGGUAUGUGGUUAUGUAUCAAAAGCAUGCUACUGGAGGAAGAUAAUGCUGACCAGGCAACCUUAUCUCCCUCUGCUAUUCCUGGGAGAAUGAAGAAGAUCAAAGCUGCUUAUAAGUCUGGCUUUCUUGGUUUCAGGUAAACAAGUGACUAAGUCUUUGUUUGCAACUGCAAUCACCUACUUCUCUUGAACUUUGUAGAUAACAGAGUUUGCAUAACUUAAGCCCAAAGAACUUGAGACACUUCCGACAUAACUGAGAUAUCAGAUCACAUCCUACUGGCCCAUGUAAUUUGCCCUGGAAGAAAAGCUAUACUGCAGGUACUGGACUAGGUGAGGAUAGCAGGAAGAGGACAAGGAUAAUGCUUUUUAAGAGCUUCUGCAAAAGUCCCAAUCUGUAUUACUCUCUGCUUUUUCAUCUUUAAAGAGUCAUUCAUGAAAUUGCCUUUUAUCUGAAUGGCAUCUCUUCUGUUUAGAAUUACUGCUGAAAUGAAUUCAAACCAUUCUAAAUAAAGCUCUUAGAUCAAUAGCAGCCAAAGAAUUUCAGCCUUUUUGUUAAGAUAAGCAAAAAGUUAGUUGCACACCUCUUUAAGGCUGGCACCAAAUUCCAUCAAAAACAGAAUCUGUUUCUUAGGAGUUUCAUAGACAAGAGCUAGGUCAGGUUAGACCUAGGACCAUCUAGCUCAAUAAUGCCUACAUGAAUUCUGCUUAGGAAUGAUGAAUUUUGUGGCCCAACCUGUAUAGAGCACAUCACAUUUGCAAAGAUUGAACUCUGCAUAUUAAUACUAGCUCUCUGGGUCUUCAGAGAAAGUUCUUUCUCAGCCAUACUUGGAAAAACCAGGACUACAUCAGGAGUCCAGCCUGGAUAUUAUAUAUGUAUGGACAAUGGAAAAAAAAACAAACUUCUCCAGAUAGGACCAUAGCUGGCACAGCAGUCUAGAUAUCAGUAAAAGGUGUUCUGUGUUCUUGCUGACAUCUGAGUUUCUCCAAGUAGUGCUAACCAAAAAAAAUGAGGAAGCCUCACAUGUUUCAGAAAAUUCCUUUAUCAAGAACACUUUGCAUUCUUAGUCAAGGAAUUUUCUGAAACAUGUAACUAUCCUAUAUAAUAAAAGAUUUCCUACUGGUACUUGAGAUAUGUUAUGCUUGAGCCCAGACAAUCUAUCCAACUAGGUCCUUCAGUAAACCUCUACUCUGAAUACAGGUUUGUUAUCACAGCAUCUCCACCUUUUCAGAUUAGAUUUGAAAAUGACAGAGUUGCAUAUCAUCCACUUAUAGACAUAGAGAAAAUGCUUCAGAGAAAGAAACAAUGAUUUUAAAAGAAUGCUAUGAAAUGUUGAGUUUUCCAAAUGCUUGGAUAGAUGACACUUUUUUUACUGAUAACUUCAUGAGUCUUUACUUUUAAAAGUUUUGAAAUUAGUUAAUAUUUAAACAAAUUCCUU